UGGGGAAUAUUGGACAAUGGGGGCAACCCUGAUCCAGCCAUGCCGCGUGAGUGAUGAAGGCCUUAGGGUUGUAAAGCUCUUUUACCCGGGACGAUAAUGACUGUACCGGGAGAAUAAGCCCCGGCUAACUUCGUGCCAGCAGCCGCGGUAAUACGAAGGGGGCUAGCGUUGCUCGGAAUCACUGGGCGUAAAGCGCACGUAGGCGGAUCCUUAAGUCAGAGGUGAAAUCCCAAGGCUCAACCUUGGAACGGCCUUUGAUACUGGGGAUCUCGAGUCCGGAAGAGGUUGGUGGAACUGCGAGUGUAGAGGUGAAAUUCGUAGAUAUUCGCAAGAACACCAGUGGCGAAGGCGGCCAACUGGUCCGGCACUGACGCUGAGGUGCGAAAGCGUGGGGAGCAAACA
rnacentral:rRNA from 1 species